rnacentral:rRNA from 1 species
CAGUCGCCGCGGUAAAACGUAGGGUGCAAGCGUUAAUCGGAAUUACUGGGCGUAAAGCGUGCGCAGGCGGUUUUGUAAGACAGAGGUGAAAUCCCCGGGCUCAACCUGGGAACUGCCUUUGUGACUGCAAGGCUAGAGUACGGCAGAGGGGGAUGGAAUUCCGCGUGUAGCAGUGAAAUGCGUAGAUAUGCGGAGGAACACCGAUGGCGAAGGCAAUCCCCUGGGCCUGUACUGACGCUCAUGCACGAAAGCGUGGGGAGCAAACAGGAUUAGAUACCCCUGUAGUCCCUGUCUCUUAUAC